UACGUAGGGAGCAAGCGUUGUUCGGAUUUACUGGGCGUAAAGGGCGCGUAGGCGGCGCGGUAAGUCACUUGUGAAAUCUCUGAGCUUAACUCAGAACGGCCAAGUGAUACUGCAGUGCUAGAGUGCAGAAAGGGCAAUCGGAAUUCUUGGUGUAGCGGUGAAAUGCGUAGAUAUCGCUUGGAACGCCGAAGGUGAAAACAGGCUGCCUGGGGUUGCGCCGACGCUGAGCACACGAA
rnacentral:rRNA from 1 species